CCACUCUCCUGCCUGGGCUGCUGCUCAACGGGGGCUGGGGGUGUGUGGGGCGGGGGUGGUCUGUCCAGUGAUUCAGCCACAUGUGAUAGAUGACCAAGUGACUGCUUUCUUGGAGUCCGCACACCAGUGGAAGACUCUCAAAGUGGUUGUGACCGACUUGAUCAAACUCUAGGCUUCCUGAACUGGGAAUGAAAUGCAGAUAACUCUUUAGAAAACUUUUGUAGGAAAAGCGCCUCGUGUGAUCUGGAACAAAGACGUUUUAUAAUCAGAUUUAUCAAGCUGCGAAGAGGGAGUUUUAGUGAACGGAAGCAGCAGCAUUCUGUCACCAGGAAAUACUCCUUUAUCCAGAAUUGGUAAGUGAAAAGUGGCAUUGCUCCCUAAUAGAUAUCAUAUGCGUGUGUGGGAAUUGAAAAAUUGUUCACAGACCCCUAACAACUGUGUUGAACAGAGAACACAUAAACAGUGAGGAGUUCUAAAAAAGAGCAGCACGAGAAUACCGCAUAAAGACUGAGAAGAAGCCAGGUAAUUAACAAAAAUGAGCUGAGUGCUAUCAGUUUAGCUAAACAUAUGUAAUACAGCUAGAUUUGGUUGUUUUAUUUUUUCUUGUUAGUGGAGGAGAAACAUAAAAUCAGAAUGGGCUGUUUAGUAGAAUUGCGACAUUAACUUUCCAUGGAUGUAGAUUUCCAUUUAGUCUGAAUAGCAUGUAUGAAAUUUGAAGGGAUGCUUUCAGAAUUAGUCUACUUGCCCUCCUUUCCUUUCCUCUGCAUUAAGAUGUCAAGUAUUUAGUUAGAACCUUACAAGAUGAAAGUUGUACAAAAUGAAAGUUCAAGUAAUGCGUCGGAAACACCUCUCCUGAUUGGGAAGGGUAGAUUACAAUGGCAAUAGAUUUUUGUUUUUUGUUUCUUACAUUUGUGUCACGAAUUUUAAGUUUGUUCUAUUGGAUUACAUUAGUACAGCAAAAGGGGGGUUAUUUCUAUCUAUAUGGUUCAUGACAUUUUGAGAGGUCGUGAUUAGUAGUUCUUACUGGUUUCGUAUGCGUGUUCCUGCCUGUUGAAUUCAGUUUUCUAAUCUUGAAUCUGAGCUGCCUUUAUGUUAAAGGGUUCUAGAAAAAGACAAUAAAGCUUUGAAUACCCGUGUUAUAUACAACAGGUUCCUGUUCAUGAUGUAUAAGGUAACGCAAUUUUAUUUUAGGCAUGAAUGUCUAAUUUCUUGAUUUGGCUUCUUAAGAAUAUACUGAAAAGGUUGAAUAGAAUAAGAAAAAGAACAUUAGAAAAGAAUGGUGGGUGACUGCCUGAUUUUACUAGUUUCUUAUUGGUCAAUAGAAGUAAUCAUGUGAUGUCUACUUAUAGAAGCAAAUGGAAAAAAUUUUUCUUCUUUAACUGCUAACAAGUAUAUAGGCAAUUUUAGCAAUCUUCAUUUAUUAAUUUGAAUAUAUAAUUAUAACUGUUAUUAACAGAAUAAGUUUUGGGUAAUAUAGGAAAUAAUAAUUAUUUCUUUCUUUUUAAGCCAAAUUGGAAGUUGAAUCUACUUUUGGUUCCUGUUCUGUUACUUUCAAAAUCUUAAAAUCCUUAACUCAAAAGGGAAAAUGUAUAAUAAAACAGGAUAGCAGUGCUGAAAUUUCUCUCUCUUAGCAGUGGAGUGGGAUGAGGGUGGGGGAGGGAGAUGAAUCUAGUGAGAUAUAUUAAUUGUUUUUUCCCCCUCUUGUAUACUUGGAUAACUUUUGAGAUCAGUUUUCUCAGACUAGCAGCUCUCAAGACUUU
rnacentral:lncRNA from 1 species